ensembl:lncRNA
GACCACUCAGAAACACAACCACCAUUUUCCUCCCCCUUUGCUGUGGGAGUCAGUUGUACUUCGAAUUUGCCCUUCACAGAAGCUCCAUCAGCAAAAGACAACUGGAAAAUCAAAGCUUGCUUUUGUGACUGGGAGAAUAUGGUGGAAAUAUAAAGUGUGACUUCCAAGUCUGCUUUAUAAAGACAUUGCAACUUCUGCCUUGAUCACUCUUGGAUAACUUGCUCUGGAAUCAGCCAGCUACAAUGUCAUGAGGACACCAGUCGGGCUUGUGAAGAAGCUUUCUUGGAGAAGAGUCAACUGGCCAGUACCAACUUGCCAGCAUGUGAGUGUAUGACCUUAGAAACAGAUCUUUCAGCCCUAGUCAGGCCAUCAGAUAACUAUACAUAUAGUUAUCAGAUUACUACAACCUCAUAAGAGAUUCCAAGCUAAGACACACAAUUGAGUUGCUCUCAAAUUUCUGAUUCAUACAAAGUUUGAAAGUUUCAGCCACUGAGUUUUGCAAUAAUUUGUUCCACAGCAAUUACUACCUGGUAGAGUACCCUUCGAUACCAGAAAAACGUGCCAAAGUCACCAGGGUGCUCAGAGUUAAUACUAUUUUGGGGGGCUUAGGAGCUGUCUUAAAAACAACCCUGGAAAGAACUAACAUAAAAUCAAGUAAAUGGACAACACAAAAAUAAGUGCCACAAAAAGAUAUUUUAAAAGUACAAUGUUCAAAAUAGAAUGAGACCACUUUCAAAUGGGAGUAUCAAAGAAAAACUGAUUUAAGGUGGGUCUCAAAGGAAAAAGUUUAGAUACAUAGUAACAGCAGGGACAAGGAGGUAUAAGAAUAUUCCAAGCAGUGGGUAUCACUUAAAUGAGAAUCGGUUUCUAGUGAGAACAGUGGCAAAAGCAUAAGGUAUAAGAAGGGAAAUGUAUUAGUUACCUAUGACCAGUAAUAAACUAUAGCAAAACUUAGUGGUGUUAAAUGAUACACAUUUAUUAUUGCUUAAUUCCGUGAGUCAGGAAUCCAGGCUGGGCUUAGUUGG